rnacentral:tRNA from 1 species
UGUAGCUCAGUGAUACAGCACCUGCCUGGCAAGCAGUAGCCCCUGAGUUUGAUUCCCAGCA